rnacentral:rRNA from 1 species
ACUGGUCAAGUGAUUCCGCGCCGACAAUGUAGCGGGGCUCAAGCGCACCGCCGAAGCCGUGGCAAUGACACUUAGGUGUUGUUGGGUAGGGGAGCGUCCUGCAUCUGGUGAAGCCCGGGAGUGAUUUACGGGUGGAGGGUGUGGGAGUGAGAAUGCAGGCAUGAGUAGCGAUAAGGCAAGUGAGAACCUUGCCCGCCGAAAGACCAAGGGUUCCUGGGCCAGGCCAGUCCGCCCAGGGUGAGUCGGGACCUAAGGCGAGGCCGACAGGCGUAGUCGAUGGACAACGGGUUGAUAUUCCCGUACCCGUGUGUGCGCGCCCGUGAUGAAUCAGCGGUACUAACCGCCCAAAACUUCGAUCACCGAUCACCUUCGGGUGUGAGGGUUCGCAGGGCUGCGCGGGACCUUCGCUGGUAGUAGUCAAGCGACGGGGUGACGCAGGAAGGUAGCCAUACCAGUCAGUGGUAAUACUGGGGCAAGCCCGUAGGGAGAACGAUAGGCAAAUCCGUCGUUCACAUAUCCUGAGAGGUGAUGCAUAGCCGAGUGAGGCGAAUUUGGUGAUCCUAUGCUGCCGAGAAAAGCCUCUAGCGAGCACACACACGGCCCGUACCCCAAACCGACACAGGUGGUCAGGUAGAG